rnacentral:rRNA from 1 species
GACGGGGGCCCGCACAAGCGGUGGAGCAUGUGGUUUAAUUCGAAGCAAACGCCGAAGAACCUUACCAGGUCUUGACAUCCCGAUGCUAUUUCUAGAGAUAGAAAGUUACUUCGGUACAUCGGUGACAGGUGGUGCAUGGUUGUCGUCAGCUCGUGUCGUGAGAUGUUGGGUUAAGUCCCGCAACGAGCGCAACCCCGCCGUUAGUUGCCAGCGGUUCGGCCGGGCACUCUAACGGGACUGCCCGCGAAAGCGGGAGGAAGGAGGGGACGACGUCUGGUCAGCAUGGCCCUUACGGCCUGGGCGACACACGUGCUACAAUGCCCACUACAAAGCGAUGCCACCCGGCAACGGGGAGCUAAUCGCAAAAAAGGUGGGCCCAGUUCGGAUUGGGGUCUGCAACCCGACCCCAUGAAGCCGGAAUCGCUAGUAAUCGCGGAUCAGCCAUGCCGCGGUGAAUACGUUCCCGGGCCUU